UACGGAGGGUGCAAGCGUUGCUCGGAAUCAUUGGGCGUAAAGGGUGCGUAGGCGGCUUUUUAAGUCUGACGUGAAAGCCCAGGGCUUAGCCUUGGAAGUGCGCCAGAAACUGGAAGGCUAGAGUGCCGGAGGGGAGAGUGGAAUUCCUGGUGUAGCGGUGAAAUGCGUAGAUAUCAGGAGGAACACCGGUGGUGUAGACGGCUUUCUGGACCGUAACUGACGCUGAGACACGAAAGCGUGGGUAGCAAACAGG
rnacentral:rRNA from 1 species